rnacentral:lncRNA from 1 species
UCAGGUGUGCAACUGUGACAAAUACGUGAAGAUUUCCAAAGAGAAAAUGAGGCAAUUGAUGCAGCUCGGUGGAUAUUUAACUGAGGGAGAUGAUGCAGGCUGCCUGGCAAGCACUGAAAAGAAACAAGAGACGGACGCAGAGGCCACUGUCCCAGAAUCUGGCUCUCCACAGCUGGUUUACAACCCAAACUGCCAGUGGCUGGACGAGUCGGAUCUCAACAUGGAGUCUCUGACACUGGCCAACGGCACCGCCCUGCAGCUGGGAGCCAUCCCAGUCAAGAUGCUGGACAAAGCGGAUCCAUCUUAUUUCUACUGCUGCAGCCAGUGCGGAAAGAAGCUCCUGGCAUCCGAGCUCUCCCAUGGAUAGAGCGGACCCCUCAGAGCACCAGUCACCACCACUGUGAAUGCAGCCAGAGUGAGUACUGGAGGAACUUUGCUGCCAUGACACCUCCUGGCAGGUGCUGAGCCUUGC